AUUGAACGCUGGCGGCAUGCUUUACACAUGCAAGUCGAACGGUAACAGGCCGCAAGGUGCUGACGAGUGGCGAACGGGUGAGUAAUGCAUCGGAACGUGCCCAGUCGUGGGGGAUAACUACUCGAAAGAGUAGCUAAUACCGCAUACGAUCUAUGGAUGAAAGCGGGGGACCGUAAGGCCUCGCGCGAUUUGAGCGGCCGAUGUCAGAUUAGGUAGUUGGUGGGGUAAAGGCUCACCAAGCCAACGAUCUGUAGCUGGGCUGAGAGGACGACCAGCCACACUGGGACUGAGACACGGCCCAGACUCCUACGGGAGGCAGCAGUGGGGAAUUUUGGACAAUGGGCGCAAGCCUGAUCCAGCAAUGCCGCGUGCAGGAAGAAGGCCUUCGGGUUGUAAACUGCUUUUGUACGGAACGAAACGGCUCUGGUUAAUACCCGGGGCUAAUGACGGUACCGUAAGAAUAAGCACCGGCUAACUACGUG
rnacentral:rRNA from 1 species